rnacentral:rRNA from 1 species
GAAUUCGCCCUUAGAGUUUGAUCCUGGCUCAGGACGAACGCUGGCGGCGUGCCUAACACAUGCAAGUCGAGCGGGGACAGGUAGCGGAAGUUCUUCGGGAUGGAAGGUAUUUGUUCUAGCGGCGGACGGGUGAGUAACGCGUGAGUAACCUGCCCUUCACAGGGGGAUAAGAUACCGAAAGGUGUUCUAAUACCGCAUGAGACCACAGAGCCACAUGGCUAAGGGGUCAAAGGAGCAAUCCGGUGAAAGAUGGACUCGCGUCUGAUUAGCUAGUUGGUGAGGUAACGGCCCACCAAGGCGACGAUCAGUAGCCGAUCUGAGAGGGUGAUCGGCCACAUUGGGACUGAGACACGGCCCAAACUCCUACGGGAGGCAGCAGUGGGGAAUAUUGGGCAAUGGGGGAAACCCUGACCCAGCAACGCCGCGUGGAGGAAGAAGGUUUUCGGAUCGUAAACUCCUGUCCUUGGUGAAGAGGAGAAGACGGUAGCCAAGGAGGAAGCCCCGGCUAACUACGUGCCAGCAGCCGCGGUAAUACGUAGGGGGCAAGCGUUGUCCGGAAUGAUUGGGCGUAAAGGGCGCGUAGGCGGCUCGGUAAGUCUGGAGUGAAAGUCCUGCUUUUAAGGUGGGAAUUGCUUUGGAUACUGUCGGGCUUGAGUGCAGGAGAGGUUAGUGGAAUUCCCAGUGUAGCGGUGAAAUGCGUAGAGAUUGGGAGGAACACCAGUGGCGAAGGCGACUAACUGGACUGUAACUGACGCUGAGGCGCGAAAGUGUGGGGAGCAAACAGGAUUAGAUACCCUGGUAGUCCACACUGUAAACGAUGAAUGCUAGGUGUAGGGGGUAUCGACCCCUUCUGUGCCGCAGUUAACACAGUAAGCAUUCCGCCUGGGGAGUACGGCCGCAAGGUUGAAACUCAAAGGAAUUGACGGGGGCCCGCACAAGCAGCGGAGCAUGUGGUUUAAUUCGAAGCAACGCGAAGAACCUUACCAGGUCUUGACAUCGUAUGCAUAACUUAGAGAUAAGUGAAAUCCCUUCGGGGACAUAUAGACAGGUGGUGCAUGGUUGUCGUCAGCUCGUGUCGUGAGAUGUUGGGUUAAGUCCCGCAACGAGCGCAACCCUUACCUUUAGUUGCUACGCAAGAGCACUCUAAAGGGACUGCCGUUGACAAAACGGAGGAAGGUGGGGAUGACGUCAAACCAUCAUGCCCCUUAUGACCUGGGCUACACACGUACUACAAUGGCAAUUAACAAAGAGAAGCAAGACAGCGAUGUGGAGCAAAUCUCGAAAAAUUGUCCCAGUUCAGAUUGCAGGCUGCAACUCGCCUGCAUGAAGUCGGAAUUGCUAGUAAUCGUGGAUCAGCAUGCCACGGUGAAUACGUUCCCGGGCCUUGCACACACCGCCCGUCA